rnacentral:sRNA from 1 species
AACCUGGUUGAUCCUGCCAGUUACAUAUGCUUG